ACUAAAUAGGAUUCCCUCAGUAAUGGCGAAUGAACAGGGAUCAGCUCAGCAUGGAAAUUGGGGCCUCUGGCCUUGAAUUGUAGUCUUGAGAUGGCUUCGCCAGCGGAGGCGCAGAUGUAAGCCUCUUGGAAAAGAGCAUCAAUGAGGGUGAGAGUCCCGUUUGUCAUCUGCAGUCCCCCGUGCACGGCUUGCUUUCUAAGAGUCACGUUCCUUGGGAUUGGAGCGCAAAUUGGGUGGUAAAUUUCAUCUAAAGCUAAAUAUUGGUUCGAGACCGAUAGCAAACAAGUACCAUGAGGGAAAGGUGAAAAGGACUUUGAAAAGAGAGUUAAAAGUGCCUGAAAUUGCUGAAAGGGAAGCGAAUGGAACCAGUUUUUCUUGGCGAGAUUGUUGCGUGCUAAUGUGAUGGCUUGUUGCUUCAACGCAAGUGUUGCAGCGGGUUUUGAUCUGGACGUGCGCGGUGCUUCUUGCCUUGUGUGUCAACGUCGGUUCAGACUUGAGGAAAACUCCAGGGACAUGGUAAGUCACUUCUGGGUGACUGAAAGUGCUUGGCAGAACUCAUUUCUGAACUGAACUCCGCAUGUCUGGUCGCAGUGCUCUCAUUUCCCAUGUCUCGUUCGGAGCUUUGCGCUCUGACCUGGGCUGGGGCGUGGGGCAUCUCCCUGACAUCAGUACGAUGACAAAAUGGUUUUAUUCGACCCGUCUUGAAACACGGACCAAGGAGUCUAACAUAUGUGCAAGUUCACGGGUGUUAAACCUGCUUGCGCAAUGAAAGUGACUGCUGGGAUAUUUGCACCAGCAACCGACCAAUCAAUUGUGAGAGGUUUGAGUAUGAGCAUAUCUGUUAGGACCCGAAAGAUGGUGAACUAUGCCUGAGAAGGGCGAAGUCAGGGGAAACUCUGAUGGAGGCUCGUAGCGAUACUGACGUGCAAAUCGUUCGUCAUACUUGGGUAUAGGGGCGAAAGACUAAUCGAA
rnacentral:rRNA from 1 species